AUGAGGUUCACCAUCAACGAGAACGACUACUUUGAGCUCGUGACGGUGGCAAAUGUCGCCGGUAGUGGCGUGGUGUCCCAAAUGUGGAUUAAGGGGUCCAAGACUGACUGGAUGGUAAUGAGCAGGAAUUGGGGUGCCAGCUGGCAGAGCAAUGCCUACCUCAACGGCCAGAGCGUGUCCUUCCGGGUACAGACCGACGACAACCGGGUCGUCACGGCCGACGAUGUUGCGCCGUCCAACUGGUGGUUCGGUGGCACCUACACUUCAUGGCAACACCAACCGUGGCCGGCGGCGCUAUCGUGCAUGCCUUGCUGCCCUGGCCAUCUCUCUAAACCCCACCAUGAUUCUUUGACCAGCGACCUUCCCGAACUACUCGCACCUGAAACCGUCAAGGCUGAGCCGAUGCUCGGUGGCCCAGUGUUGUGGUGCUAG
rnacentral:rRNA from 1 species